UACAGAGGAUGCAAGCGUUAUCCGGAAUGAUUGGGCGUAAAGCGUGUGUAGGCGGGCGGUCAAGUACCUUGUGAAAUCCCACGGCUCAACCGUGGAACUGCUGGGUAUACUGGUUGUCUUGAGCCAGCUAGGGGCGAGCGGAACAGACGGUGGAGCGGUGAAAUGCGUAGAUAUCGUCUGGAACGCCGAAGGUGAAAACAGCUCGCUGGGGCUGCGCUGACGCUGAGACACGAAAGCCAGGGGAGCGAACGGG
rnacentral:rRNA from 1 species